ACUUAAAUUGAAGAGUUUGAUCAUGGCUCAGAUUGAACGCUGGCGGCAGGCCUAACACAUGCAAGUCGAACGGUAGCAGAAAGAAGCUUGCUUCUUUGCUGACGAGUGGCGGACGGGUGAGUAAUGUCUGGGAAACUGCCCGAUGGAGGGGGAUAACUACUGGAAACGGUAGCUAAUACCGCAUAACGUCUUCGGACCAAAGAGGGG
rnacentral:rRNA from 1 species